ACUCCCUGCACCCACUAAUCCCCCUUUCACAGACGAAAGAACCAUGGAAUUCAAUGACACAUGUGAGGACCCAUGGUAUCCCCUUAAUGCUGGCCUUUCAGCAUCAAUUGCAACUGUCACCCUCAGUUCCUUCCAUUCGAGAUGAACUGGAGCAAAAAAAGUUUUACAAAGGAUAAUCGCAUUUAAAAUGUGAACAUAAAAUCAAAGAUUAUAAACAUCCCCAGUCAGUAUGUAACCUCAUCAAAUCACAUGUUGCAGGCAAUUUCAGGAACCUGAUGAGGUAUUUGAAUAGUUGGCAAUAAAAUGGGAAGCUGAUUACUUGUAAAACUUUUUUUGCUCCAGUUCAUC
rnacentral:misc_RNA from 1 species